AUACGGAGGGUGCAAGCGUUAAUCGGAAUUACUGGGCGUAAAGCGCGCGUAGGCGGUUAUUUAAGUCAGAUGUGAAAUCCCUGGGCUCAACCUAGGAACUGCAUCUGAUACUGGGUAACUAGAGUUUUGGAGAGGUAAGUGGAAUUUCCGGUGUAGCGGUGAAAUGCAUAGAGAUCGGAAGGAACACCAGUGGCGAAGGCGACUUACUGGCCAAAAACUGACGCUGAGGUGCGAAAGCGUGGGUAGCAAACGGGAUUAGAAACCCUAGUAGUCC
rnacentral:rRNA from 1 species